rnacentral:rRNA from 1 species
CACGUAGGGCGCAAGCGUUGUCCGGAAUUAUUGGGCGUAAAGAGCUCGUAGGCGGUCCGUCACGUCCGCUGUGAAAACCCAGGGCUCAACCCUGGGCUUGCAGUGGAUACGGGCAGACUAGAGGUAGGUAGGGGAGAAUGGAAUUCCCGGUGUAGCGGUGAAAUGCGCAGAUAUCAGGAGGAACACCGGUGGCGAAGGCGGGUCUCUGGGCCGAUACUGACGCUGAGGAGCGAAAGCGUGGGGAGCGAACAGG